GACGAACGCUGGCGGCGUGCUUAACACAUGCAAGUCGAGCGGUAAGGCCCUUUCGGGGGUACACGAGCGGCGAACGGGUGAGUAACACGUGGGUGACCUGCCCUCAGCUCUGGGAUAAGCCCGGGAAACUGGGUCUAAUACCGGAUAUGACUUCAUGACGCAUGUUGUGGAGUGGAAAGCCUUGUGCGGCUGAGGAUGGGCCCGCGGCCUAUCAGCUUGUUGGUGGGGUGANGGCCUACCAAGGCGAUGACGGGUAGCCGGCCUGAGAGGGCGACCGGCCACACUGGGACUGAGAUACGGUCCAGACUCCUACGGGAGGCAGCAGUGGGGAAUAUUGGGCAAUGGAGGCAACUCUGACCCAGCCAUGCCGCGUGGGUGACGAAGGUCUUCGGAUUGUAAAGCCCUUUCGGCGGAGACGAUGAUGACGGUAUCCGCAGAAG
rnacentral:rRNA from 1 species